rfam:Heterocephalus glaber contig88980, whole genome shotgun sequence.
UAGGGGGGACGGGGCUCGGUGCCCCUCCCCAAGCCCAGGGUAACCUUUAAAGUAGAGGGAGA